rnacentral:rRNA from 1 species
UCAGGCCUAACACAUGCAAGUCAUACGACGUAUUAUUUAUUUUUAAUAAAUAGUAUUGUAGUGGCGGACGGGUGAGUAACGCGUAAGAACUCACCUCUAGGAGGGGGAUAACAUCUGGGAAACUGGUGCUAAUACCCCAUAUGCUGAGGAGUGAAAAGGUUUAUACCGCCUAGAGAGAGGCUUGCGUCUGAUUAGCUAGUUGGUGAGGGUAAAGGCCUCCCAAGGCUACGAUCAGUAGUUGGUCUGAGAGGAUGAUCAGCCACACUGGGACUGAGACACGGCCCAGACUCCUACGGGAGGCAGCAGUGAGGAAUUUUCCGCAAUGGGCGAAAGCCUGACGGAGCAAUGCCGCGUGGAGGACGAAGGGCCAUGGGUUGUAAACUCCUUUUCUUAGGGAAGAACGAA